AUUGUGCUGCGCUUCAGGUAUUUGCUUCUGGUCACUCAAUCUCAACUUAGAUGUCAGAGGUUAGCAAACCUUCUUGGACCAUGCAACUUAAUUUACUCAGUCACUCCCUGGAAGUCAAUAAUGCUAAACCUGAGAAGCAAAUGAAAACAGUGCGGAAGAUGUGAUAACAAAGCAGACCCCAGCGCCAUUCCAGAGCAGAAACACAAGCAAAGAGAUGCCAAACAGUGCUAUGGAGUAGCGUGGGCACAUUCCAAUGCUCUUUGAAGAACAUUACAAGAAUUUUCUGACCUAAGGUUCAUCUAGUACACGUAUGAAGCAAGAAUGCUGAGCUUGCUAUCCUACUGUGCUUCCCAUCCGCACAGAGCUGCAGGACCAUGCACAAAUAAUGACCUCAGCAGUGACUUUUCUGAAAUAUUAAGAGCACUAUUGCGGUGACAAACUUUCUCAUGAAGCAUUCAAUUUGAAGUUUCAAAUACUUCAGAAACAAAUCCAGCAUCUCCUGUGUCUCAAUUCAUUGCUGGAAAACAAUAUAUUUGUAUAAGCAUCAGUCCUGUGUUCUAAGAAUUUAUCUUGAUAUAUUAUUCUAUGGAGAGUUAUUAAUUCUCUGAAAAUAUGGUUUUUCACUUAAAACCUUGAAAAUCUUAAAAUCUGAACAGAAGUUCCUCCCUUUACUUCCUUAUGAUUUUAAUUCUCAUCUCACCAUGUUGGAAUUCAGAAAGUAAAACCCAAAUAAAAAACCC